AGCUCUAUAGCGUAGUGGCUCGCGCGUUUCACUAGUACUACGUUUUGCACACGUUCCGCGUUCGAUUCGCGCUAAUGCUA